UACAGAUUCUUCUGAGGCGCUCA
rnacentral:siRNA from 1 species